rnacentral:misc_RNA from 1 species
GAUGAAGAACGUAGCGAAAUGCGAUAAGUAAUGUGAAUUGCAGAAUUCAGUGAAUCAUCGAAUCUUUGAACGCACAUUGCGCCCGCCAGUAUUCUGGCGGGCAUGCCUGUUCGAGCGUCAUUUCAACCAUCAAGCCCCCGGCUUGUGUUGGGGACCUGCGGCUGCCGCAGGCCCUGAAAACCAGUGGCGGGCUCGCUAGUCACUCCGAGCGUAGUAAUACAUCUCGCUCAGGGCGUGCUGCGGGUUCCGGCCGUUAAAAAGCCUUAUUUACCCAAGGUUGACCUCGGAUCAGGUAGGAAGACCCGCUGAACUUAAGCAUAUCAAUAAGGAGGA